GAGCGACUGGAGAACACAUUUGGAGAAACUUGCUGAAGGCCAAAGACAAAAAGACAGAAGAAAAAAAAAUUCAGACUGCAAUUAAUUUCAGGUGGAGACAGUAAACACAGGAGGCGCCUGAUAUCAACGUGAAACGCACUGCAGUACUUCGUGCCCUUCCUGUAUACCUGCGGGAGGAGGACCCAGAAUUCUUUUAGACAUGUAAUGCGGACGCAUUGGAUGAGUCGACCCUCAUUGACACUCCAGUUGCCCUUCUCACAGUGGUUACCGACGGCGCUUCCCAGUCCAGUCCAUUUUACUUCCUCAAGCAUGGCUGUUUUGGUGAAAGGCGACUAGGUGAUGCGUGAUAUUCCCAGAUUUGCAAAUGCAUUUGCUUUAUUGUUUGGCUUGAUCUAUGCUCUGCAUUUAGACUACCCCAGG